UACAGAGGGUGCAAGCGUUAAUCGGAAUUACUGGGCGUAAAGGGUGCGUAGGUGGUUAGAUAAGUUAGGUGUGAAAGCCCUGGGCUCAACCUGGGAAUGGCAUUGGAUACUGGCGACCUAGAGUGCGGUAGAGGGGUGUGGAAUUCCCGGUGUAGCAGUGAAAUGCGUAGAUAUCGGGAGGAACAUCUGUGGCGAAGGCGACACCCUGGACCAGCACUGACACUGAGGCACGAAAGCGUGGGGAGCAAACAGG
rnacentral:rRNA from 1 species